AAAAAAAAGAAAAGAAAAGCACCCGGAACAGAGUGGGCACCCCAUUAAGACUGCUGCAGUCAGUGAACUGGCCAAGGUAUUCUUUUUCAAUUCACAAUUUCGGAACAGAAAUAAAUGGCUUUGCAAAUGCCUUGUAGAGAAAACACUCAGCCCUGGUCUAUUGGUCUAAGCUCAACACUGAUGUCUAAGUUUUGGGGGCAAGGAGAGGGUCCUGCCUGGAAUACGGCAAGCAAUCUGUCGUGUGUAUUCCUAAACUCAUGAAGGAACCGCUGCCAUUUCCGUCAAUUUUUAACCUGACCCCUUCUUUACAUGGAUUUGCCUUAGAAAAGUCUUCUCCAGACAUAAACUGGCAUUUAACAAAAAAGAGGGAAAAUGAAAACAAUAAGGUAUCAUUUCUUACAUCUGCCUGGAAAGACCACGGAGGAUGAGCUGAGUGUGAGGCAAACAGAAGGAAAUCGGAGGGCUCACAGCUGACAAGGGUGUUAAUUGGAAUAAAGUCCUGGAGGGCGAUUUGACAAUCUGUAGCAAAAUCCAUUUAAAGUGGCAUACAUCCGGACCCAGAGUUCCUCCUUUUAGACCUUUAUUCCAAGGAUUCAGCAAAUAUGAACGAAAAUUUUGUGAGAGGAUUAUGACUCCUGGUUAAAAAAGGAGCGUGCACGCUAAGUAGUAUGAACUGGCAUGAACUGACAUCCUUUGUAAGAACUGCAUUUUGCAUCUGGGCGAAGUGGCUUAUGCCUGUAAUUCCAGCACUUUGGGAGGCUAAUGCCGGCAGAUAACCUGAGGUUGGAUCAAGCUCUUGGAGCUCUG
rnacentral:lncRNA from 1 species